GAGUUACCUACCUUUGAACUCAUAAAAACUCAUUGUGCUAACCACAAAACUUUUUGUGAGAACUUGGGAUCUCAACCCCAUUAAGAAACUUGAUGAUAGGUUUCUCGUUUUUAUACUUGAGGGCUAUGAAAUUUGUUAAAAUAGUGAGAGACAUAAUUAGAUAAAAAAUCUUAUCUAAAUUGUGCAUGUCAUCAUGAGUAGUCCUUGAAUGUUCUUAAAUACACAUA
rnacentral:lncRNA from 1 species